UACGUAGGGGGCAAGCGUUGUCCGGAUUUAUUGGGCGUAAAGAGCGUGUAGGCGGUCAGGUAGGUCUGCUGUGAAAACUCGAGGCUCAACCUCGAGCUGUCGGCGGAAACCAUCUGGCUAGAGUCCGGAAGAGGAGAAUGGAAUUCCCGGUGUAGCGGUGAAAUGCGCAGAUAUCGGGAAGAACACCCGUGGCGAAGGCGGUUCUCUGGGACGGUACUGACGCUGAGACGCGAAAGCGUGGGGAGCGAACAGG
rnacentral:rRNA from 1 species